rnacentral:rRNA from 1 species
CCUACGGGUGACAGCAGUGAGGGAUAUUGGUCAAUGGGGGGAACACUGAACCAGCAACGCCGCGUGAGGGAGGACGGUAUACGGAUUGUAAACCUCUGUCCUCUAGGAAGAUAAUGACGGUAGCAGAGGACGAAGCUCCGGCUAACUACGUGCCAGCAGCCGCGGUAAUACGUAGGGAGCAGGCGUUGUCCGGAUUUACUGGGGGUAAAGGGUGCGUAGGCGGCCCUGCAAGUCAGAAGUGAAAUCCAUGGGCUUAACCCGUGAACUGCUUUUGAAACUGGAGGGCUUGAGUGAAGUAGAGGCAGGCGGAAUGCCCGGUGUAGCGGUGAAAUGCGUAGAGAUCGGGAGGAACACCAGUGGCGAAGGCGGCCUGCUGGGCUUUAACUGACGCUGAAGCACGAAAGCGUGGGUAGCAAACAGGAUUAGAUACCCGAGUAGUC